rfam:Trichoderma atroviride IMI 206040 TRIATcontig_26, whole genome shotgun sequence.
GCCCGGUUAGCUCAAUCGGUAGAGCGUGAGACUCUUAAUUCACACGCUCUGAUGUGGCGAUGCGAUAUCUCAAGGUUGCGGGUUCGACCCCCGCAUUGGGCU